AUUUUUCAGGACCAGUACGAUAAUUUAUCGUUCCAUACUCAAAAGGGUAUCGAUUUCCUUGAACGAUAUGGUCAUUUCAUCCGCGACAGAUGCCUCAUUGAAAUGGAAUACGCUGGCAAACUUAGGCGAUUGGUUAAAAAUUAUCAGCCUAAAAAAAAAGACGAAGAGGAAUACCAAAUUGAUGAGCAAUUUUUUUGGGAGUUUGAAUAGUAAGUUCUUUAUAUGAGUGUUGAUAAGUGACGUACCGUGGACAUCCAGUAAUUAAUCGUAAACAAAUUGACUGAAAGACUUCAAGUGGUCUUAUGUUUGAUGGUUCUACUUGUCCCCAUAUUUUUACGCCAAACGACCAAAUGGAAGCUAGAAUAGAUUUAUAGGUGAGUAUUUUAUUUUUGAGACUGAGUUUUGAUUUUAAAAUUGGGUGGAGGAGGUGAAGGCGUGUGUUACAUUGUUUUAUUUUCUUUUGUGUAUGAUUUUUCCAUGUAAGUCUGGUCGAUAAUUAUUCCCUGGUAUUUUAUUGAGUUUGAGUGUGGCAAAUGGUUGUUAUUUAGCUUAAGAGGUAGAUAUUCUUUACGGCUUAGAGUGAAAUUCACUUGUACUGAUUUAGUUUCGUUUAGCUUGAUUUUCCAUUGCUUAGUCCAUGAGAAGAUAAGAUUAUGGUGAUUUUGUACUAAUUGUGUUGCAACUUGAGGGUCAAAUUUAUUUACCUUUACUGUCUGAAUAAUCCUAAUUAUAAUUUUUGUGUUUUAAAUAUACAUUACCAACAAAUUUGUACUAUAUUAUAAAUAGGGUCGUGUUUAAGGGGUGAUUCGGGGAGGCAAUAACCCUCCCUGAAAUAUUUAAGGGGACGGCAAUAUUUUUACGGGAUUCUAAAUAAAACCAAAUCGAUUUUUUCGUAUUCU